CCACAUGGCGGUCGUCGACGUUACGUGCUGGAUUCCUUCUUUGUCCAGCUUCCAGCAGGGGUUGUGGUUGCUCCGGUGGGGAUUCUGAUUCAUCCGGUUGGGGAUCUAGUUGUCGGUGUUGGGACGAUGAGCCACCUUGAUAGAAUAGUGAAUGUGGAGGUGUUUGCAUCACCAACGACGAAGGUGUUUGAAACCCAUACGGUGAUGGCGUUUAGUAAAAAGAAGAGUUUUUUGACGGCCCCUCUUGCAAUCCCUC
rnacentral:lncRNA from 1 species